UGAUGCAAAUUAUGUCUGCGGGAAAAAAGGGGGAGUUUUUUUUUUAAAUCGAAAAAAUCGUAAAUAUAUUCUAGUGAAGGUGAAUGAUCGAUAUAUCCAGGAAUACUCAUUAUGACAUACCCCAAAAAUUCGUCCCAUAAAACCAGAUUUUUACAAUGUAUUCACUACGUUCUUAUAAUGUCGAUACGACGUAACAAAAUGUU
rnacentral:lncRNA from 1 species